rnacentral:rRNA from 1 species
CCCUUAGACGUUCUGGGCCGCACGCGCGCUACACUGACGGAGCCAGCGAGCUUUUCCUUAACCGAGAGGUUUGGGUAAUCUUGUGAAACUCCGUCGUGCUGGGGAUAGAGCAUUGUAAUUAUUGCUCUUCAACGAGGAAUUCCUAGUAAGCGCAAGUCAUCAGCUUGCGUUGAUUACGUCCCUGCCCUUUGUACACACCGCCCGUCGCUAGUACCGAUUGAAUGGCUUAGUGGGGCUUCAGGAUUUGCUUAGAUCGAGGGGCAACUCUCUUUCAGAGCGGAGAAUCUAGUCAAACUUGGUCAUUUAGAGGAACUAAAAGUCGUAACA